rnacentral:rRNA from 1 species
CCUACGGGAGGCAGCAGUGAGGAAUAUUGGUCAAUGGGCGCGAGCCUGAACCAGCCAAGUAGCGUGAAGGAUGACUGCCCUACGGGUUGUAAACCUCUUUUGCCGGGGAGCAACGGGCGCCACGUGUGGCGCCACUGAGAGUACCCGGAGAAAAAGCAUCGGCUAACUCCGUGCCAGCAGCCGCGGUAAUACGGAGGAUGCGAGCGUUAUCCGGAUUUAUUGGGUUUAAAGGGUGCGUAGGCGGAUCGUUAAGUCAGUGGUCAAAUUGAGGGGCUCAACCCCUUCCCGCCAUUGAAACUGGCGUUCUUGAGUGGAAGAGAAGUAUGCGGAAUGCGUGGUGUAGCGGUGAAAUGCAUAGAUAUCACGCAGAACCCCGAUUGCGAAGGCAGCAUGCCGGCUUCCGACUGACGCUGAAGCACGAAAGCGUGGGGAUCGAACAGGAUUAGAUACCCCGGUAGUC